rnacentral:rRNA from 1 species
UCGAACGAGAAAGUGGAGCAAUCCAUGAGUAAAGUGGCGACCGGGUGAGUAACACGUGACUAACCUACCCUCGAGUGUGGAAUAACAUCGGGAAACCGAUGCUAAUACCGCAUAACAUCGCAAGAUCAAAGGAGCAAUCCGCUCGAGGAGGGGGUCGCGGCUGAUUAGCUAGUUGGCGGGGUAACGGCCCACCAAGGCGAAGAUCGGUAGCCGGCCUGAGAGGGCGCACGGCCACACUGGAACUGAAACACGGUCCAGACUCCUACGGGAGGCAGCAGUGGGGAAUUUUGCGCAAUGGGGGAAACCCUGACGCAGCAACGCCGCGUGGAGGAUGAAGCCCCUUGGGGCGUAAACUCCUUUCGACCAAGACGAUAAUGACGGUACUGGUGGAAGAAGCACCGGCUAACUCUGUGCCAGCAGCCGCGGUAAUACAGAGGGCGCAAGCGUUGUUCGGAAUUAUUGGGCGUAAAGGGCGCGUAGGCGGUUUGACAAGUCUGAUGUGAAAUCUCUGGGCUCAACCCAGAAUCUGCAUUAGAAACUGUCGGGCUUGAGUAUGGGAGAGGUGAGUGGAAUUUCCGGUGUAGCGGUGAAAUGCGUAGAUAUCGGAAGGAACACCUGUGGCGAAAGCGGCUCACUGGACCAUAACUGACGCUGAGGCGCGAAAGCUAGGGGAGCAAACAGGAUUAGAUACCCUGGUAGUCCUAGCCCUAAACGAUGAUUGCUUGAUGUGACAGGUACCCAAUCCUGUCGUGUCGAAGCUAACGCG